UACGUAGGGUGCAAGCGUUGUCCGGAAUUAUUGGGCGUAAAGAGCUCGUAGGCGGUCUGUCGCGUCUGCUGUGAAAAUCCAGGGCUCAACCCUGGACCUGCAGUGGGUACGGGCAGACUAGAGUGCGGUAGGGGAGAUCGGAAUUCCUGGUGUAGCGGUGAAAUGCGUAGAUAUCAGGAAGAACAUCGGUGGCGAAGGCGCUCUGCUGGACCAUAACUGACACUCAGGGACGAAAGCUAGGGGAGCGAAUGGG
rnacentral:rRNA from 1 species